rnacentral:rRNA from 1 species
ACCCAGACUCCUACGGGAGGCAGCAGUGGGGAAUAUUGCACAAUGGGGGAAACCCUGAUGCAGCGACGCCGCGUGAGUGAAGAAGUAUUUCGGUAUGUAAAGCUCUAUCAGCAGGGAAGAUAAUGACGGUACCUGAGUAAGAAGCCCCGGCUAACUACGUGCCAGCAGCCGCGGUAAUACGUAGGGGGCAAGCGUUAUCCGGAUUUACUGGGGGUAAAGGGAGCGUAGACGGCAUGGCAAGUCUGAAGUGAAAGCCCGGGGCUCAACCGCGGGACUGCUUUGGAAGCUGUUAAGCUGGAGUGCAGGAGAGGAAAGUGGAAUUCCUAGUGUAGCGGUGAAAUGCGUAGAUAUUAGGAGGAACACCAGUGGCGAAGGCGGCUUACUGGACUGUAACUGACGUUGAGGCUCGAAAGCGUGGGGAGCAAACAGGAGUAGAUACCCCCGUAAGG